GAUGAAGAACGUAGCGAAAUGCGAUAAGUAAUGCGAAUUGCAGAAUUCAGUGAGUCAUCGAAUCUUUGAACGCACAUUGCGCCCGCUAGUAUUCUGGCGGGCAUGCCUGUUCGAGCGUCAUUUCAACCAUCAAGCCCUAGGCUUGCGUUGGAGCCCUGCGGCUGCCGCAGGCUCCCAAAUCCAGUGGCGGGCUCGUCGUCGUACCGAGUGCAGUAAACAUCCUCGCUCAGGGAACGUGACGGGUUCUUGCCGUGAAACCCCCCACAUAUCAAGGUUGACCUCGGAUCAGGUAGGAAUACCCGCUGAACUUAAGCAUAUCAAUAAGCGGAGGA
rnacentral:misc_RNA from 1 species